rnacentral:rRNA from 1 species
GACGAACGCUGGCGGCGUGCUUAACACAUGCAAGUCGAACGAAGUGGCGAACGGGUGAGUAACGCGUAAUCAACCUGCCCUUCAGAGGGGGACAACAGUUGGAAACGACUGCUAAUACCGCAUACUGAAGGAGGGGAUUGCGUCUGAUUAGCUAGUUGGAGGGGUAACGGCCCACCAAGGCGAUGAUCAGUAGCCGGUCUGGGAGGAUGAACGGCCAAAGGGGGACUGAGACAGGGCCCAGACUCCUACGGGAGGCAGCAGGGGGGAAUCUUCCGGAAUGGAAGAAAGUUUGACGGAGCAACGCCGGGGGAGUGAUGACGGCCUUCGGGUUGUAAAGCUCUGUUAAUCGGGACGCGGUACCGGAAUAGAAAGCCACGGCUAACUACGUGCCAGCAGCCGCGGUAAUUC